ACAUGCAAGUCGAACGGCAGCGCUGGAGCAUCCUGGCGGCGAGUGGCGAACGGGUGAGUAAUACAUCGGAACGUGUCCUGUAGUGGGGGAUAGCCCGGCGAAAGCCGGAUUAAUACCGCAUACGAUCUACGGAUGAAAGCGGGGGAUCGCAAGACCUCGCGCUAUAGGGGCGGCCGAUGGCGGAUUAGCUAGUUGGUGGGGUAAAGGCCCACCAAGGCGACGAUCCGUAGCUGGUCUGAGAGGACGACCAGCCACACUGGGACUGAGACACGGCCCAGACUCCUACGGGAGGCAGCAGUGGGGAAUUUUGGACAAUGGGCGCAAGCCUGAUCCAGCAAUGCCGCGUGUGUGAAGAAGGCCUUCGGGUUGUAAAGCACUUUUGUCCGGAAAGAAAUCCUCUGGGUUAAUACCCCGGGGGGAUGACGGUACCGGAAGAAUAAGCACCGGCUAACUACGUGCCAGCAGCCGCGGUAAUACGUAGGGUGCGAGCGUUAAUCGGAAUUACUGGGCGUAAAGCGUGCGCAGGCGGUGAUGUAAGACCGAUGUGAAAUCCCCGGGCUUAACCUGGGAACUGCAUUGGUGACUGCAUCGCUGGAGUAUGGCAGAGGGGGGUAGAAUUCCACGUGUAGCAGUGAAAUGCGUAGAGAUGUGGAGGAAUACCGAUGGCGAAGGCAGCCCCUGGGCCAAUACUGACGCUCAUGCACGAAAGCGUGGGGAGCAAACAGGAUUAGAUACCC
rnacentral:rRNA from 1 species